CAUGCGUGAGUGUGGCGGCGGUGUGUCGUUCUGUGACGGUUCCUCUCUUUUCGUGAAGUGCGGGAUUUUUCCAGUGGAUUGAUAUGUUUGGUAAAGAUUCAGGAUUAUUUGAGCGUCACGUGCCUGGCAGACAGGCAGCGUGUUGUGGUGCCUGGACACUUCAUUGAGCGUGUUGUGUUGUGGAAGCUGGCCAGACCUAAAGCAGAAACACCAAUUAGCAAGCAUACGAGCAAUGUCCAGCAGACUCUACUCAGGUGUCUCUCGUGAUUAGUGAAGUCAAGGAAUGAGGACCAUGGGAAGGAUGAUGUAAGUGACGUGCAGCUCAUCUGACGGAGGCGGUGAGGAGCGGUGCCCGUCACAUGUGUGCCUGCCGACUCGGCCUUGGUGAAUCACAUCUACGUUGCCUCCGGAGUCACCUCGCUGCAUCUUGAGGGACGUCCAAAAGAGCAGAGACAGACUGAGAGAGGGAGAGUGGACAGGAGAGGGGGAGCAGCGUAACGGGAUCCCUCGGCCACUGGUCAGUUGUUGGUCAGCCCGCGGCUCACGGCAGGUGCACCACUGACCACCGGGGCUUUAAACUAUUGUCCUGUUUUUCCUUUCUUUUUUUUUUUUCUUUCUUUUGGUGUCUUUGUCUAACAGUGAGGGUUUUAAUCGAUGACGGCAGUGGUGGUGGUGGUGGUGGUUUAAGAGAUGUUUUAAGUGUUGCUCUGUAUUCUCUCUCUCUCUCUCUCUCUCUCUCUCUCUCUCUCUCUCUCUCUCUCUCUCUCUCU